UACGGAGGGUGCGAGCGUUGUCCGGAAUCACUGGGCGUAAAGGGCGCGUAGGCGGCGCGGGAAGUCAUCGGUGAAAGUUCAGGGCUCAACUCUGAAGUCGGCCGGUGAUACUCUCGUGCUUGAGCACUGUAGAGGCAGGUGGAAUUCCGGGUGUAGCGGUGGAAUGCGUAGAGAUCCGGAAGAACACCGGUGGCGAAGGCGGCCUGCUGGGCAGUAGCUGACGCUGAUGCGC
rnacentral:rRNA from 1 species